AGAGUUUGAUCAUGGCUCAGAUUGAACGCUGGCGGCAGGCCUAACACAUGCAAGUCGAACGGUAACAGGAAACAGCUUGCUGUUUCGCUGACGAGUGGCGGACGGGUGAGUAAUGUCUGGGAAACUGCCUGAUGGAGGGGGAUAACUACUGGAAACGGUAGCUAAUACCGCAUAACGUCGCAAGACCAAAGAGGGGGACCUUCGGGCCUCUUGCCAUCAGAUGUGCCCAGAUGGGAUUAGCUAGUAGGUGGGGUAACGGCUCACCUAGGCGACGAUCCCUAGCUGGUCUGAGAGGAUGACCAGCCACACUGGAACUGAGACACGGUCCAGACUCCUACGGGAGGCAGCAGUGGGGAAUAUUGCACAAUGGGCGCAAGCCUGAUGCAGCCAUGCCGCGUGUAUGAAGAAGGCCUUCGGGUUGUAAAGUACUUUCAGCGGGGAGGAAGUGAGUAAAGUUAAUACCUUUGCUCAUUGACGUUACCCGCAGAAGAAGCACCGGCUAACUCCGUGCCAGCAGCCGCGGUAAUACGGAGGGUGCAAGCGUUAAUCGGAAUUACUGGGCGUAAAGCGCACGCAGGCGGUUUGUUAAGUCAGAUGUGAAAUCCCCGGGCUCAACCUGGGAACUGCAUCUGAUACUGGCAAGCUUGAGUCUCGUAGAGGGGGGUAGAAUUCCAGGUGUAGCGGUGAAAUGCGUAGAGAUCUGGAGGAAUACCGGUGGCGAAGGCGGCCCCCUGGACGAAGACUGACGCUCAGGUGCGAAAGCGUGGGGAGCAAACAGGAUUAGAUACCCUGGUAGUCCACGCCGUAAACGAUGUCGACUUGGAGGUUGUGCCCUUGAGGCGUGGCUUCCGGAGCUAACGCGUUAAGUCGACCGCCUGGGGAGUACGGCCGCAAGGUUAAAACUCAAAUGAAUUGACGGGGGCCCGCACAAGCGGUGGAGCAUGUGGUUUAAUUCGAUGCAACGCGAAGAACCUUACCUGGUCUUGACAUCCACGGAAGUUUUCAGAGAUGAGAAUGUGCCUUCGGGAACCGUGAGACAGGUGCUGCAUGGCUGUCGUCAGCUCGUGUUGUGAAAUGUUGGGUUAAGUCCCGCAACGAGCGCAACCCUUAUCCUUUGUUGCCAGCGGUCCGGCCGGGAACUCAAAGGAGACUGCCAGUGAUAAACUGGAGGAAGGUGGGGAUGACGUCAAGUCUUCAUGGCCCUUACGACCAGGGCUACACACGUGCUACAAUGGCGCAUACAAAGAGAAGCGACCUCGCGAGAGCAAGCGGACCUCAUAAAGUGCGUCGUAGUCCGGAUUGGAGUCUGCAACUCGACUCCAUGAAGUCGGAAUCGCUAGUAAUCGUGGAUCAGAAUGCCACGGUGAAUACGUUCCCGGGCCUUGUACACACCGCCCGUCACACCAUGGGAGUGGGUUGCAAAAGAAGUAGGUAGCUUAACCUUCGGGAGGGCGCUUACCACUUUGUGAUUCAUGACUGGGGUGAAGUCGGAACAGGGUAACCGUAGGGGAACCUGCGGUUG
rnacentral:rRNA from 1 species